CACGGCCGGGUCUACUCGUGUCGUGAGAUGUUGGGUUAAGUCCCGCAACGAGCGCAACCCUUUUCCUUAUUUGCCAGCGGGUUAAGCCGGGAACUUUAAGGAUACUGCCAGUGACAAACUGGAGGAAGGCGGGGACGACGUCAAGUCAUCAUGGCCCUUACGACCAGGGCUACACACGUGCUACAAUGGUCGGUACAAAGGGUUGCUACCUAGCGAUAGGAUGCUAAUCUCAAAAAGCCGAUCGUAGUCCGGAUUGGAGUCUGCAACUCGACUCCAUGAAGUCGGAAUCGCUAGUAAUCGCGGAUCAGAAUGCCGCGGUGAAUACGUUCCCGGGCCUUGUACACACCGCCCGUCACACCAUGGGAGUUUGUUGCACCAGAAGUAGGUAGUCUAACCGCAAGGAGGACGCUACCACGGUAU
rnacentral:rRNA from 1 species